CAACUACAACUUCUUUGGUAUUUGCACCAUUCAAAUUUCAAUCAAAUAUUUUAGUCAUGUUGAUGCUUAAAUCUUGGGUAAAUUCUUGUUCAAAGCGGUAACUUUUUUGUCUGCUUUUUUGUAACAGAGGUAAUUUUCUUGUUAACCAAUUGGUUUUUGAAUAGGGUUUUUUAUGAUCAUUAUCAGUUGCAUUGCCUAGUUUCCCUCUUGUUGCUCUUUUUAUAUUCAUAGCCAAUUUCACAAUGAAGUGAUUCACUGCUAUUGAUAGCUUGUUAUUGGGUCUCUAAUCUUAUCUUCUAUUGUAAUUCCUGUAUACUAACAUAUUUUGUGAUGUACGUUUAUCCUUUUUUGCUGCAAAGUGUGUAUGAACUAGCACCUGUGAUAGCUAGGAAGCAUUCCAUUCAAUCAUUUUAUUUGAGUACUUGUAUACAAUGAUGUGUCAACUUUUAAAUACAAAAUGAAAACAUUAAUUAAAAGAUUUAUUUAUUAUGUUGUUGAUGUGACAUCAAUUACAUAUAUUAUUGUGUUAAUUUUUUUUUUUUGACACUUUCGUAAAAAAAGUAACAGUACCUUUAACAUUUUCCCUAAUCCUAAUUCUCAAAUGAUACAAUUCGAAUUAGCUACUUCUCCUUCUUCCUCCUAUAACAACAUGACCCCCGAAGAAUCAUUGUUGUGUUUGGAACUUACCUCCCUUAACAAAUUUUCCUUUCGAACUUGUAGUUUCUCUGGUAUAGUUAGCAUUCUAUUUCCUAUGGUUACCUGGGCUACCAUUCCAAUUCCUAUAGGCUAUAAGAGUCAUUUUCUUUUCCUCUUCUUGACAUUGCUGUUAAUGUAGUUUAGGGCUAUCUGAAUACCCAAAUUUCAUUAACAAGAUAGCUCUUUGGUUAUUAGUUAUUAAAUAUGCUUUAAUUAUUGAAACUUAAAAAAAAAAAAAAAAAAAAAAAAAAAAACCUUGGUUUUGUUACUUAGCUUUAAUCUUUGUAUAAAACACAGACAGAAUCCUACACGUUCACAAGCGACAAUAGCAACAAAGUUAGUACCCUCAUUUCAAAACUCCUAGUUUGUAUUUUGCAUAUGAUCCAAUUGUUCUGCAUUUUAAGUUUCAGGGUUCUGAUUUUGAUUCCUUUAUUGUCUAGCUCUCCUUGAUUAUGACAACAACAUAUUAAAAUACUCUGUUAGUUUGUGAUCAGAAUCUCUUGAAGCCUUGAAGGACAAUUUUAUUCUUCAAUAGUAAAUAGCAGGCUAGGGAAAUAUACUAAUGGAAUUUUACUACUAGUUUGCUCCCAUAAAAUAAAUCCUGAUUUGGCUCAUUUGGAUGUGUACUUUGGUCUUUCACGUGCAAAUGGCAGGGGAGUUCAUAAUAAAACUCUUUCAAUUUCUUCCACAUUGUAACAUUGGAUGCCUAAUCACAUAAUUUUGUUUUUGCUUCACCUUUCCCAUUGGUUUGUUACAUUUUUCUAGAACUUCAUUUCAUUUCUUUUCUUUUCCUUUUUUUUUUUGGGUGAGCUAAAUUAGUGUCCACCAAAUUUAAAGGUUGUCAAUUACUUUCAUUUUUCUCGUCCAUACACAUAUGAUGAAAGGGUCCUAUUCUAUAUAUUUUAAGCAAAAGAAAAAGAUUAGGGAUGACAAAAACCCAUUUAUAGGUAUAGAUAUUGGACUCAACCUAAAUAGAACGAGUUUUAGCUGUCUCAAUAGGAUAGUAAGAGGAGAAGAAGUGAGUUUUUUUUUUUUUUGGGAAUCAAAUCUUGUGGGUUGGGAAUGGAUUGACCCGACCCGUCCUGUAUAACUUAUUACGAAAAUAUAACAUAACUAAUGAUACCAUAUAUUUCAAGAAUUUUUCAUGAAUUUUCUAAUUGCUUUUUGAUGCCAUGGGUCACAGCAAGGACCUUUGUUUUUCUAUAGGCAAAAUAUAACAUAUACAUUAUUAUGCAUUUAUGCUCAAACGUCCCAUAGAUCUAGGGUACCCCUCAAUCCAUUGUCCCAUAGUGUGAAAGUGAUUAAAUUUUGAAGGUUUAUAAUGCUCUUAGGGUAUUGGUUAACAAUCUAAUUAAAAAAAGUUUUUAUGGAAAAAAAAAAAAAAAAAAACAAUUAGAGCCCGUUUAGUUUAGAGAUAGCUCAGUUCUUAGUUUUUGAAAAUACCCAUUUGUUGUUUCCUGUUUCCAUUACUCUAACUCAAAUUUUUGAGUUUUGAGUAAUGAAAAUAAGUGUUAAAAAUCAAGCCAAAUACUAAAUUUUUUGUGAGACCCACGUGUUUUGAAAGCUCAGUUAUAAAAACUGAGUGAUAUGAUCCAAAAACCCAUUCAUCCAAACAAGCUCUUAAUAUUUUGACAAAUUUUUUUUAUUUUUCAUUAAAAAGAUGUCAAAAUUUUCUUAAAAUUGAUUAUUAACUAAUGCCAGCACUUGUUAUCGUUUUUCAAUUUUCAAAAUAUCUAAAAGAUCUAAGAAUUAUUAUUAUUAUUAUUAUUAUUUUUUUUUUUUUGGGUUUGGGGCCGCCAUGGUGAAAAUGUGAAAUGUCGGCCAACUAUAAUUGAAGGCCCUUGGGCCCAAAAGAGUACCAUGUGUCAACCUCUCUGUGUAAUCAUUCUAAUGCGUACCUGCCCCGUCGUUGUUAAAACUCCAUAAUUGCGCCACGUGUUAACUACCCUCUGUUACCGGUAUUAGUUGACGGCGCAGAUUGCAUCAACGUAUAAAAUAAGUAAACGGCUAUCUCUCUCCUACCUGAGUCUCGUAAACGCCGUCAAAUCCAAUACCAGUUUGGCCUCGAGCCAUGCAACAAAAAAAAAAAAAUUAACGUAACAGCCUCCCUUGUCAUAGUCUCAUAGAUAUACCACUUUUUGGUGAAUUCUCAUUAAUUCUUAUUUACUUUAUUUUAAUUUCUUUUCUUUUUUUAAAAAAAUUUAUGGAUGCAUGCUCCUUAUAUUUCAUUGAAAAUAGCAUGAGGAUAUUUACUAAAAUUGAAGAAUGUGUAUAGCACAAAUUUUGGUCUUAUCUAUCGUUGGGUUGAUUUUAUUGUCCAAUUGUUUUUUUUAACGUGAAUAAGCCAAUUAAAAAAAAUAAAAAAAUCGGCUUGGCAAAAUCAUGAUAAUCAUAUAUUUAAAAGAGGAGCUUCUACUUAUCAAAAAAGGAAAAAAAAAAGAAAAAAAAGAGAA